rnacentral:rRNA from 1 species
UGUCGGUAAAACUCGUGCCAGCCACCGCGGUUAUACGAGAGGCUCAAGUUGACAGACAGCGGCGUAAAGAGUGGUUAAGGAGACUAUAAGACUAAAGCGGAACACCCUCACAGCUGUUAUACGCUUCCGAGGGCAUGAACCCCAACUACGAAGGUGGCUUUAUAUUGCCUGAACCCACGAAAGCUAAGAAACAAACUGGGAUUAGAUACCCCACUAUGA